GGGGGUAUAGCUCAGUGGUAGAGCAUCCGACUGCAGAUCGGAAUGUCCCCGGUUCAAACGCGGUUGCUCCCU
rnacentral:tRNA from 1 species